GUAGACAUCACCCAUAGUGAACAUUUUUCUUCUUGUUCCUAAAAUUGGAAUGAAAUGAGGAAUAACACAGAGAAGUAAGAAACAGAAGGAAAGAAGUAAGCUGAAGGAAACGUGGGAGGGAGAAGAUUUAAAAAGAAACUAAAAGAAAAAAGAAAAAAAAGAAGCAUAUCCAACUAGAUGACAGUUCAUCACAAACGACAACGGGCGGGCUGCUGAUGUAGGAAAGUUCCGAGGGAGGAAACGGUGCUAUAACCACAGGCAUUCACAGCCUACAUGUAUGAGAAGCGAUGUUGGCCAGCUUUCUAAAGUUGAGUCUAGAAGGCAAGAGGAAGAUAGCUGAACAGAGAGAAAUAACAGCUGCCCAAGUAUGGGACUCACCGGAAAGCUUCUUCAUAAAGUGACGAAUUGGAAGAAGACCCUGGGCACCAGAUAGGAGCUGAGACUUCCAGGAAUAAAUCCUAUUACAGCCUGGGGGUAAGUCCCUUGAAAGCAGAAGGGAAUCAAUAACAAUCUUACUUAUUUUUAUUGUUAAUCUUGGGUAUCA
rnacentral:lncRNA from 1 species